rnacentral:rRNA from 1 species
GAUAACCAUUGGAAACGAUGGCUAAUACCGCAUUAUGCCUACGGGCCAAAGAGGGGGACCUUCGGGCCUCUCGCGUCAAGAUAUGCCUAGGUGGGAUUAGCUAGUUGGUGAGGUAAGGGCUCACCAAGGCGACGAUCCCUAGCUGGUCUGAGAGGAUGAUCACCCACACUGGAACUGAAACACGGUCCAAACUCCUACGGGAGGCAGCAGUGGGGAAUAUUGCACAAUGGGCGCAAGCCUGAUGCAGCCAUGCCGCGUGUAUGAAGAAGGCCUUCGGGUUGUAAAGUACUUUCAGCAUUGAGGAAGGGAUGUACGUUAAUAGCGUGCCUCUUUGAC